UACGAGGGGAGCUAGCGUUGUUCGGAAUUACUGGGCGUAAAGGGCGCGUAGGCGGUCCUAUAAGUCAGAUGUGAAAGCCCCGGGCUUAACCUGGGAGGUGCAUUUGAAACUGUAGAACUGGAGAUCGAGAGAGGAAAGUGGAAUUACGAGUGUAGAGGUGAAAUUCGUAGAUAUUCGUAAGAACACCAGUGGCGAAGGCGACUUUCUGGCUCGAUACUGACGCUAAGGCGCGAAAGCGUGGGGAGCAAACAGG
rnacentral:rRNA from 1 species